ACUUAUGCCUAAAUACCCUGAAAGCACAAGAUUCUGUCUAAUUUUGGAAGCUAAGCCAGGUCAGCUGUGGUUAGUAUUUGACUGGAAGACCACCAAUGAGUGAAACAUGCUGUAAGCU
rnacentral:rRNA from 11 species